CUAGCGUUGCUCGGAAUCACUGGGCGUAAAGCGCACGUAGGCGGAUUGCUAAGUCAGGGGUGAAAUCCUGGAGCUCAACUCCAGAACUGCCUUUGAUACUGGCGACCUUGAGUCCGGGAGAGGUGAGUGGAACUGCGAGUGUAGAGGUGAAAGUCGUAGAUAUUCGCAAGAACACCAGUGGCGAAGGCGGCUCACUGGCCCGGUACUGACGCUGAGGUGCGAAAGCGUGGGGAGCAAACAGG
rnacentral:rRNA from 1 species